CAGCAGGCGGUACUUGGUGGAGGACAAACAGAGGAGCGGGUUCCUGAAGCAACCUUGAGAUCUCGGCUGCCCAUGUUAUCAAUGUCUCAAAGACUACAAAACCUCCGGAAGAAGCCGUG